GGGGACUGAGGCAGGACUCACAGGUGAAAGUUGUGAGAAGGAAGACCAGAGUUCAACACUGUGUAAUAAAUAGAGCUGCCCAACAGUAGCACAGCUCAGCUGUGUAAGGGUGGCCUGGAGAAUUCAACGAGAUAAUGCACGCGAGAGGGCUUCCUAAGCUAGAAGCCACCUUACCUGUGCAGGGGCAGGUUAUGAGUCUGCACCUGUGUAUGCACGGCCAUGUGCACACCGAGGGGAACGGUGAGUGAGCAAGGUCAAUCCUGGCUGGAAGUGGCGCUGGGAGAACAGCCCCUCCUCCGAGGUCCCCACCCCAGAAAAUCAGCAGGCACCACCUGAGAUAAGGAGACCUGAGCCUGAGCAUCGCCAGGAUGUAGGAGGCAAGCAGAGCCACCAAGACCAGGGAACUCAGAGCUGCAAGAAUCCUCAGGGGCCAUCCCUGCCUCUUCACUGUUCUGAAGAUGAGAAAACUGAGGUUCAGGGAGGUUAGCUGAUUUGCUCAAGGUCACACAGGUAGUGGCAGAACCAAGACUUGAACCUGAUUUGCCUGACUUCCAGCUCCAGCAGACUUCCUUGGUUCCUGAGCUGGAGCUUAUUUGACAAAUGCCUGGGAGUCCAGAGCAGGAGAUCUGCAUGGAGCUUCCUCCCCUACCC